GCUCUGAACAUUUAAAUGUUUAAAUGAACAUUUAAAUGUUUAAAUGAACAUUUAAAAAAAAUUUAAAGAGUAGACCUUGGUGGCCGUAUUUAUACCCCUACUUCCAACCCCUACUUCCCCUGCUCUGAACAUUUAAAUGUUUAAAUGAACAUUUAAAUGUUUAAAUGAACAUUUAAAAAAAAUUUAAAGAGUAGACCUUGGUGGCCGUAUUUAUACCCCUACUUCCAACCCAUUCCAGUCAACAUGUACUGAGAGGAGUAUACAACUAACUUUGGAGAGGGGGGGGUCACAGCUCAUUGGGUGGGCAAAAAAUAAUCAUCCCUCUUUCUUGAAUUUGAACUAAAAGAUAAAUAGCAGAAAUGACUUAAUCUGAAGGCUUCACAUGUGAAUGACUGUUUCUAGCCUGGCCCAGUUAGCAGGCAGAGGAAGUCCAUCCACAUAGAAAAGCUAGUAAAUGGGGGUGGAUUCAUAUGGAAACACAGAGCCCAAGACCUCAUGAGUCAGGCUAGACUAGCUCCAGUCUAGUUUCGGCUGGUCGGCACAGUUCCAGAUCCAGCUCCUAUGUAGUUACAUGUAUUUUCCAGCCUAUGCCCUUGUAUCUUAUUCUUUAGGUAACCCUCCUGCAGUAGUUGGGAUUGGUUGGCCGUGAGGGUCAGAAAACUCAAUGUAAAAAUGGCUUGAGAAAGAUAGAAAUUUAUUUCUGCCAACUAAGAGUCCGGAAGAAAGCAGUCCAGACUUCUUGAAAUUGUCAGAGUCACAGAUUUCUCUUCUCAUGAUAGUGUAUUAUCUGUGGCAUGUGGCUUCUACCCCCUGCUGUCCAGGAGGGCUGCUCAGGCUUCAGUUAUCUCAUGUGCAUUCCAGCCCAUUGGAUGGAGGAGGGAGUGAGGAAGGGGACAUUCUGUUCCUUUCAGGGCACUUCCUAGAGGUGGCACACAAAUCCACGUACGGCCCAUGAUCAGAACUUAGUCACACGGUUGUUAUCUAGCAGUGAGGCAGGCAGCCAUGUGAUCAUUCGGGAAACCAGAGAUCUUAUGCUGCAGGAAAAGGGAAGAAUAAAUAUUGGAGGACAAAGGUCUGUCUUUGCCACAUGCACUUGUGUUUGUUCCAACUUUGGUGUGUUUCUGUAUCUUCCCAUUGUUUCUAGAUAGAUCUGGAGCUUAGCAGAGUUGGAUUAUUAUUGACUCCUAACAAUCCCAUGAGAAUGAAGACAGGCUGAGCACUGCUACCAGAAAUUUAGAAGAGCUCACAGUGAAGCAACAUGGAAGAAAUGAAAGAAGUAAGAGCCCAUAACAUAAAGUUUAGGAUACCUGUGGUUUUGUUCAUUGUCCUUCAUUAAACUGACACAUUAAAAACCGACAUUUGAA